AUGUUGCUCGUCGUCCUUCUGGUGCUGAUGGUCGUGAUAUUUGUGUCCGCGGUCAUCUGGCUGCUCCUGCGCAAGAUCCGACGAGGGCAGAGGAGGACCAACGAACCGCUCUUCAGGUCGGUCGACGCCGACGAUCCGGGCGUCGCCGUGCUCCAGGCGGGUGCUUCAGGGGGCCUGCCGCCAGCGGCCAAUCUGGCCGGAACGGAAGGGACUUCUGUCGCCGGUCCAUCAGCCAAGACCGAAAUUGCCCCCGAUAAAGCCGAGGCCACUGCUGACGGCGGGCAAGCGGCUGUGUCCGGCGCAGCUCGUGACGACUCCAGAUGCGGGAGCGUAUUGAGGAGGAAAAAGACACGUCACACCAAGGACCGCCAAUCACAGCCCGAUAUCUGCCUGUCCAAAGAUGGCGAGGAUGGUUCUCCUGGCCAUGAGGUUUCCGAGGUAAGCCAUCCCCGCCAUGAAUCCAGAGACCAGUCGAAGCCGAAGAGAGACCAGGCCGAACGUCGAACCAGCAGCCAGCCGAAGACGGACGCGGCGGUCAGGCCAGACGCCCCUUCCGACGCACGGGCAGUCCCCAAGAGUCCAAUGGCGGACUUGGCCACGGCGUCGCGGUCCUCCGGCAACGAAGUCGGCACCAACACUCCGAUCCAGGCACUUCUCAUCCGUCGGCUGUCGGAUUCGUCCGUGCACUCAAGCCGCUCUGGUCGUUCCACAAGAUACGUGUCCUCGGAGCCCCGGGUGCCACCAGCCCUGGACAUAUUCUCUCGGGAGCACUCGUCGAUGGAGCAAGCAAUUUUUCUACCACAGGAGCCGUCGACUAACCUCCCUGAUAGAAGACAGUCCAAGCUGUCAUUUUCCCGCCGCUAAGCCUUUUUUUUUUUUUUUUUUAUUGCACGUUUAUCAACGCGUUCUGUGCUUUACGAUUGUUCUGGGACGUUGGGGAGGAUGACACAGCCGAGCGACCCUACAACGAGACCAUACAAGGAUCAUCGUGCGGCUAUAGUCCGUUGCAGGUUUAGAAUAACACACGAGAAGCGCCUCGCACAAAGCUCUACGGUCGCCAUAUUGGGGAGUUCCUCCUCUCCAGCGUCCGCUCCCGCUAAAAUGGAGAGAGUGGAGUGUUUUGUGGAAGAAGCUUGUCAUGCUGUUCGAAACAUGCAACAGACUAGAGAAGCUUGCCUCCUUUACGCGUGAAGUUUUUGUGCGCUAUAUAGUUCUAAAAGAAUUUUCGAUAUAUUCUACUUCUUAUUUACUGCGAAUCGUUCCUGUAAUCUGAUUUCUGCCGCCGGGCUCAUAACAUGGGAUGUCAACGCUGUGAUUUUGGACGUCAGCAAAGCGUACGGGAAGUGGGAUGGGGCGAACCCACCUGACCCUUCCCGGUCAUCUAUACUCGCUGACAAUUUAAGAAACGCGCGGCGUUGUGACGCACGUUAUUGCCGGUGCCAACGGGAUAAUGGCAUUAGCUGACAAAGAUGCCGAAUAACGAGUCACAAGGCAAUAAGCAUGAGCGUAUUGCUUUGUCACUCGUUAAAGAAAUAAUAAAAUUGGAAACUCCAAAUCCAAAAGAAAGAAAACUAUUCGUGACCAUUCUAUUGAUGCCCAAGGUGACUGGCU
rnacentral:lncRNA from 1 species